rnacentral:rRNA from 1 species
AUUGAACGCUGGCGGCAGGCCUAACACAUGCAAGUCGAACGAGUGGCGGACGGGUGAGUAAUGUCUGGGAAACUGCCGGAGGGGGGGGGAAAAUUCCUGGAAAGGUUAGCAAUUACCCCUUACAUCCGAAUGUGCCCAGAUGGGAUUAGCUAGUAGGUGGGUUAACGGCUCACCUAGGCGACGUUCCCUAGCUGGUCUGAGAGGAUGACCAGCCACACUGGAACUGAGACACGGUCCAGACUCCUACGGGAGGCAGCAGUGGGGAAUAUUGCACAAUGGGCGCAAGCCUGAUGCAGCCAUGCCGCGUGUAUGAAGAAGGCCUUCGGGUUGUAAAGUACUUUCAGCGGGGAGGCGUUACCCGCAGAAGAAGCACCGGCUAACUCCGUGCCAGCAGCCGCGGUAAUAC